rnacentral:rRNA from 1 species
GGAAUAUUGGGCAAUGGAGGCAACUCUGACCCAGCCAUGCCGCGUGCAGGAAGACGGUCCUAUGGACUGUAAACUGCUUUUAUACAGGAAGAAACCUCCCUACGUGUAGGGACUUGACGGUACUGUAGGAAUAAGGAUCGGAUAACUCAGUGCCAGCAGCCGCGGUAAUACGGAGGAUCCAAGCGUUCUCCGGAAUCAUUGGGUUUAACGGGUCCGUAGGCGGCCUUAUAAGUCAGUGGUGAAAUCUCCUAGCUCAACUAGGAAACUGCCAUUGAUACUGUAGGGCUUGAAUUUUGGUGAAGUAACUAGAAUAUGUAGUGUAGCGGUGAAAUGCUUAGAUAUUACAUGGAAUACCAAUUGCGAAGGCAGGUUACUAACCAACGAUUGACGCUGAUGGACGAAAGCGUGGGGAGCGAAC